CUCUGUCAAAUAAUCAAGUCGCCUGCGCUUGUCUUUGACACAAGACGGACCGGACCGGACGAAAAUCGAUUUGUGUUGUGUGGUGUUGUGGAGUUACUUCUCGACGGCAUAAGACGACACUGGAAAGGUGUAUUUGAAGCAGCAGCGUUUUAACUGGUUCUGUCUAGACCACGGACAAGCUUUUGACUGCGGUAUAUCACGCGCUGGAGUAUUUCUUGGAUUCUUCACAUAUUUUGGACUAAGCCCGCACCGCAAGAUGAAAGUCAAGGAGACGGUUAAGAAAAUUCCGGGUUGGACAUGUAUGUUGGCAGGAGGGCUAGUGGUAGUGAUUUUGUCUACCAUAGCAUGGCGGACAGGGUACGUUCACGAAAAUCCGCAAAAACCGAUUCAAGAAUCACCAACAAACUACCAUACCGAACCGCGUCUACAACACCACAAUGAUUCGAUGGUACCUCCCGAUGAAGACGCGACGGUUGAAACGCUGGAUGACUUUGGGUUCACUGAACACACUAGUGAACAUGCCGACGAUCGGGAGUUCUUGCUCAGCGAAAGCUAGGCAAUGAACUCCGAAAUCCGCCAUUCCACAUCACCACAUCAACACCUCUUCCAAAAAGCAAACCAUCAAAUCAUUCUUUUCAACAUACAACCCUGAACGUACGCAAAACAGCUCCUGGAUCUUCACGACAUCGGUUGGUGAAUACAUCAUCACUGACCCUAGUGAACGACCUGUCAUCCGACCAUCAGCCUGCCCUCUUCAGCGUGGCCGUAGUCGUGCCCUUCAACGCUUCCUGCCAGAUGCUUCAACAGUGCGAACUGGCCAGCCUUCCAGCGCAUCGUGGACAGCCCGUGCCGUGCUUCGUCGCUGGAGAUUUGAUCUCGGCAGUGAUCCAGACGAAUUGGUCCGCAAUUCUACCCCUGGCGAUCCGGACACGUCCAGACCCUUUCCGUCCGAAUUAGUACCAGUCAUCCGCACGGAUCAUCGCUGUCGCUGAAGCCGAAGAAGACGACAACAUCCUGAACACGCAUGUCUGAGGACAUUGUACUUUCCGUCCAGCUGGAAGCACGCCAUCGUCCCGGCAAUCCCAAAGCCGGGCAAUACAUCAUGGCAUCCCACCAGCUACCGUCCGAUCAGCCUGCUUCCUGUGGUGCUACGUCGAGCAAUGGUCGAUGGUGCGCUCUGGACACUGGAUUAGUCGCUGCGGACAAAAGUGCUGAAGUAAUCGUCGAGAUGCUGCAGGCGGCCCACUGUCGGCAAAAGUGGGGAAUCCCGCAAGCCGGUGGAAACCUUCUCAUGGACAAAGGCGAGCUACUGGACGGGUGACAGAAGUUCUUCAACGAGCGUCGAUAGAAAGCCCAACUUGGACCUUCCACAGUUGGCAGAUCCUCAAGAAAUAUCGUGAGUACAACAUGCCCACACAUCACAUCUUCAUCAAUUCCAAGGCAGCGUACGAUACAGUCGACCGCAAACAGCUGUGGCAGAUGAUGCACUAGAACGGAUUCCUGCGAGUUGUAAAACCAAGCAGCUAACUAGGGUAUUUGUCCCUAUUUUGGGCCUACUAAGCAGAACGCACUUUUAAUUUGAUGCAUUCUCAAAGGCUUCUAUUGGCAGCCUAGUUUGUUAUACAAGAAUAAGUUGAUUUUUUAAUGCUUAAGCUCGUACAUUAUCAACAUUUUGAUAAAAAUACAUUAUAUCGCUGUAAAAGCACGAAAAACUAAAACACUUUUUGCCCCUAUUUUGGGGAUAUUGCUCCUAGCAUACGACCUUCUUUGUGCAUAUUGUCGGCCUACCUUCUGAUUGGUUGAAAUCUCGAAGCACGUGGCGAACUUUUUUGACGUACGGUUCAUCCCCAGCUCGUACAGUACAGCCGCACAAAUUCGGUCGACAAAUAUGCUAAAUCAUUGUGAUUUUUUAAGCCACAAAUAAACAUUAGAAUGAUUGAUUUCACUUGCAUUACGUGCAUAAUUAGCUUGGACAUGAUUUAUAUCAUUCUUUACGAGUUUUAAACAUAAUUAAACAAUUGUUGCGUAGCCAAACAUCAAGCUCGUAAUAUGCUAGAAAGACUGUAAAAUUCGAGAAGCGCACACACACUGGCACAGUUUGUAGAAUUGUCAAAUGUACCGAAAAUAUAUCCAUUUCUCUCCGAUAUGGACGAAGCAACUUUAAUUAGUUAUUUUAUUGAUUUGGUGGCAGUUUAGUGAUUGUUUUUGCAAUGGGAUUGUGCAACACAUUGCCGGUGGUUGGAGAUUCGGGGGACGGCUCUCAUUCGUGUGCUGAGCGAUGAACGCCUUGACGCUGAGUGCCAAGAAGCGGUAAGCAAAAGUGCUGAAAAUUGGGCAAUGGGCAAUGGGCAAGUUGCAAUUUGCUAA